CUACGGGUUGCUGCAGUAGGGAAUAUUGGACAAUGGGCGAAAGCCUGAUCCAGCAACACCGCGUGCACGAUGACGGCCUUCGGGUUGUAAAGUGCUUUUAGAGGAGAUGAGAAAGGACAGUAUCCUCUGAAUAAGCCUCGGCGAACUACGUGCCAGCAGCCGCGGUAAAACGUAGGAGGCAAGCGUUAUCCGGAUUUAUUGGGCGUAAAGCGCGUGCAGGCGGUCUAGCAAGUUGGAUGUGAAAGCUCCCGGCUCAACUGGGAGAGGUCGUUCAAUACUGUUAGACUAGAGAAUAGAGAGGGAGGUGGAAUUCCGGGUGUAGUGGUGAAAUGCGUAGAUAUCCGGAGGAACACCAGUGGCGAAAGCGGCCUCCUGGACUAUUUCUGACGCUAAGACGCGAAAGCUAGGGUAGCAAACGGGAUUAGAUACCCCUGUAGUC
rnacentral:rRNA from 1 species